rnacentral:rRNA from 1 species
UACGAAGGGGGGCUAGCGUUGCUCGGAAUCACUGGGCGUAAAGGGUGCGUAGGCGGGUUUUUAAGUCAGAGGUGAAAUCCUGGAGCUCAACUCCAGAACUGCCUUGAUACUGAAAGUCUUGAGUAUGGGAGAGGUGAGUGGAACUGCGAGUGUAGAGGUGAAAUUCGUAGAUAUUCGCAAGAACACCAGUGGCGAAGGCGGCUCACUGGCCCAUAACGUGACGCUGAGGCACGAAAGCGUGGGGAGCAAAGCAGG